rnacentral:SRP_RNA from 1 species
GCUGGGUGAGGUGGCGCGUGCCUGUAGUCCCAGCUACUCGGGAGGCUGAGGUGGGAGGAUCGCUUGAGCCCAGGAGUUCUGGGCUGUAGGGCACUAUGCUGAUUGGGUGUCCACACUAAGUUCAGCAUCAGUAUGGUGACCUUCCUGGAGCAGGGGACCACCAGGUUGCCUAAGGAGGGGUGAACUGACCCAGGUCAGAAACAGCAGGUCAAAACUCCCAUGCUGAUCAGUAGUGGGAUCACGCCUGUGAAUGGGCAGCAUAGCAAGCAACAUAGCCUGGGCAACAUAGCAAGACCCUGUCUCA